rnacentral:rRNA from 1 species
UACGUAGGGGGCAAGCGUUGUCCGGAAUCAUUGGGCGUAAAGCGCGUGUAGGCGGCCAGAUAAGUCCGCUGUGAAAUCUCGAGGCUCAACUUCGAGCUGUCGGUGGAAACUGUCUGGCUAGAGUCCGGAAGAGGAGAAUGGAAUUCCUGGUGUAGCGGUGAAAUGCGCAGAUAUCAGGAAGAACACCCGUGGCGAAGGCGGCUCUCUGGGACGUGACUGACGCUGAGACGCGAAAGCGUGGGGAGCGAACAGG